UUUCCUGGCACUGUGUUUCCUCCCAAGGUUUCAUCUGAGGGAACUGAGUUCAGAAACUGUUUUCUAGUUGCCAUGGAGACAUCACUUUGGUGAAGUGAACAGAAACAGUCGGUGCUACUUACCGUAGAGCGGCUGUUUGAUUGAGUUCACGGUGAGUUCUUCCAGUUACUGUGUUCCUCAUGAGUCCUCGCUCGAUGAAGAAUCUGUGAUGGAGGCUGUUUUAAUAUUGUCUCUGGAAUCCGGUUCGGCAUAAAUGAUCUUCUUUGCAGCAGAUAACUCAAGAUCAUUGCAGGAAGAUAUGGAGGAAAGAUAUGACUGUGUUUGUCUUCUCUAAUGAAUGAUAGUGCAGCAGGGCACCAAGUCAUGAUGUCAAAGGGAUGAUAAAGGAGAAGAAAGAAGAAUGUGAUGAAGAGAUGGGGAGCUUAGCAGGAUUUGACAGAACACUGUUUGGGAGGAGCGGAGCCCAGAGGAUGGAUGGAUCAGCAGAAAAGUGGACAGGAAGGAUAGCAGUGUUUGUUUGUCCCUCUGAACCCGUGUCAAUAAGCCCUUUCACACACAGGAACGACAACCUCGGCCACAUUAACUUUCUGCUUGUUCUCACCUUUGACACCAGCAGCUUGACUGGAGCUGAAGAAAGGGACUUUAAAUCAGUGGUCACAACCUGCCAACCCGAGGAACUGCCAACCUGAGGAACUCGCUUGGACGCCAGUCUUCCACAAUGAUGGCCUGCUGUCUGCUGCCACCCAUUAAGCAAAUCCCUGGACCCUGAUGGCAGCGGCGGGAGCGACUUAAUCAGCAGUUUAAGGAAAACACUUUUCCUCCUCUGGCUGACAAUGAAGGACAAUGAAGACAGCUGCUGUACGUCGAGCUGUGUGUGACUGGAGCCCAGUAUGAGCCUGUAUUUACAUUUCAGUCAAUAGAGUAUUCACUCAUCUGUUUGAAUGACCUUGUAAAGUCAGUAAUCCCUGCUUCACAAUGAAUAAAUACAUAAACAAUGAAA